rnacentral:rRNA from 1 species
GAUGAACGCUGGCGGCGUGCCUAAUACAUGCAAGUCGUACGGAAAGGCCCUUCGGGGUACUCGAGUGGCGGACGGCUGAGUAACGCGUGGGAACGUGCCCCAAAGUGAGGGAUAACGCACCGAAAGGUGUGCUAAUACCGCAUAUGGUCUUCGGAUCAAAGCUUCGGCGCUCUGGGAACGGCCCGCGUACGAUUAGAUAGUUGGUGAGGUACUGGCUCACCAAGUCGACGAUCGUUAGCUGGUCUGAGAGGAGGAUCAGCCAGACUGGGACUGAGACACGGCCCAGACUCCUACGGGAGGCAGCAGUAAGGAAUCUUCCACAAUGGGGGCAACCCUGAUGGAGCAACGCCGCGUGCAGGAUGAAGGUUUGCGGAUCGUAAACUGCUUUUAUAAGUGAAGAAUAUGACGGUAACUUAUGAAUAAGGAUCGGCUAACUACGUGCCAGCCGCCGCGGUAA